rnacentral:tRNA from 1 species
UCUAAUAUGGCAGACUAGUGUAUUGGAUUUAAACCCCAAAAAUAAAGUUUAAACUUUUUUUAGAA